UACACUGCAGAUAUGACGCCUCUGUUCAUCUCAGUGCUGCUGGCUGCUAUGUGCCUCGAAUGCAGAGCACAAAAAGACAACGUGCUGCAAGCAAAAGGAGAAGAGACUGCUGCUGCAGGAGGCACAGUAACACUUGGCUGUCUUUAUAACAGCAGUACAACUAGUAAUAAUCUCUUCUGGUACAAACAGGAUGGAAACAACAGCCCCAAAUUCAUCCUGAGUCGUGUUAGUGGGGACCAAGGAAGCACAGCAGCCGAGUUCAAGGAGAGAUUUUCAUCCACACUGGAUUCCAGCAUCAGAUCAGUUCCUCUGAAGAUCCAGAAGCUUCAGCUGUCUGACUCUGCUGUGUACUACUGUGCUCUGCAGCCCACAGUGACAGGAAACACCAAAACUCUGUACAAAAACCUUUGGAGCAAAGACAACAGAAUACUCCACAACAUCCACUAGAGGGAGACACACACUGUUAAACCUCUGAUUCUUGUGUCAUUGGACUGAUGACAAAGACAACAGAGAAAUGAAGCAGUAAAGAUCAGAGACAGAGACAGAGCUGCUGUGGAAGCACAAAACUAUUUGAUUGGCUCAGCUAUUAAACUGGCCCCGCCCACUGAAGUUGAGCUCAUCCAAUGACAUUAUUUGUUGGUCAUUGUGCUGCAGUGGAAGAACAUUGUUCAUGUGCUGUCUGUCUGGCUUUAAUAACUCCAAAGACAUGUUGCUGCACCUCUUUUUGCUUCUAUCUCACAUUAUAGGUGAGUUUAAGAACAGGGAUUAAAGUUUAGUUGAAGCUGCUGCAUUAAGCAG